rnacentral:rRNA from 1 species
GGAGAAUGUUAUCACGGGAGACACACGGCGGGUGCUAACGUCCGUCGUGAAGAGGGAAACAACCCAGACCGCCAGCUAAGGUCCCAAAGUCAUGGUUAAGUGGGAAACGAUGUGGGAAGGCCCAGACAGCCAGGAUGUUGGCUUAGAAGCAGCCAUCAUUUAAAGAAAGCGUAAUAGCUCACUGGUCGAGUCGGCCUGCGCGGAAGAUGUAACGGGGCUAAACCAUGCACCGAAGCUGCGGCAGCGAACGUAUCACCCAAGACAACUUUACGGAGUUGACGAUUGACGGAGCGAAGCGACGUCAAAGCGUUCAUUAAAGUCGAGUUGGCUUAGGGAUACGUUCGUUGGGUAGGGGAGCGUUCUGUAAGCCUGUGAAGGUGUGUCGUGAGGCAUGCUGGAGGUAUCAGAAGUGCGAAUGCUGACAUAAGUAACGAUAAAGCGGGUGAAAAGCCCGCUCGCCGGAAGACCAAGGGUUCCUGUCCAACGUUAAUCGGGGCAGGGUGAGUCGACCCCUAAGGCGAGGCCGAAAGGCGUAGUCGAUGGGAAACGGGUUAAUAUUCCCGUACUUGGUGUUACUGCGAAGGGGGGACGGAGAAGGCUAUGUUGGCCGGGCGACGGUUGUCCCGGUUUAAGCGUGUAGGUGUGUGUUCCAGGUAAAUCCGGUUCACUUUAACACUGAGGCGUGAUGACGAGGCACUACGGUGCUGAAGCAACAAAUGCCCUGCUUCCAGGAAAAGCCUCUAAGCAUCAGGUAACAUCAAAUCGUACCCCAAACCGACACAGGUGGUCAGGUAGAGAAUACCAAGGCGCUUGAGAGAACUCGGGUGAAGGAACUAGGCAAAAUGGUGCCGUAACUUCGGGAGAAGGCACGCUGACACGUAGGUGAAGUGAUUUACUCACGGAGCUGAAGUCAGUCGAAGAUACCAGCUGGCUGCAACUGUUUAUUAAAAACACAGCACUGUGCAAACACGAAAGUGGACGUAUACGGUGUGACGCCUGCCCGGUGCCGGAAGGUUAAUUGAUGGGGUCAGCGCAAGCGAAGCUCCUGAUCGAAGCCCCGGUAAACGGCGGCCGUAACUAUAACGGUCCUAAGGUAGCGAAAUUCCUUGUCGGGUAAGUUCCGACCUGCACGAAUGGCGUAAUGAUGGCCAGGCUGUCUCCACCCGAGACUCAGUGAAAUUGAACUCGCUGUGAAGAUGCAGUGUACCCGCGGCAAGACGGAAAGACCCCGUGAACCUUUACUAUAGCUUGACACUGAACAUUGAGCCUUGAUGUGUAGGAUACGGGGGAGGCUCUGAACUGUGGAAGCCAGUCUGCAUGGAGCCGACCCUGAAAUACCACCCUUUAAUGUUUGAUGAUCUAGCGUGGACCCGUAAUCCGGGUUGCGGACAGUGCCUGGUGGGUAGUUUGACUGGUGCGGUCUCCCCCUAAGAAGUAACGGAGGAGCACGAAGGUUGGCUAAUCCUG